rnacentral:rRNA from 1 species
UACCUGGUUGAUUCUGCCAGUAGUCAUAUGCUUGUCUCAAAGAUUAAGCCAUGCAUGUCUAAGUAUAAGCAAUUAUACCGCGAAACUGCGAAUGGCUCAUUAUAUAAGUGAUCGUUUAUUUGAUAGCACAUUACUACAUGGAUAACUGUGGUAAUUCUAGAGCUAAUACAUGCUAAAAAUCCCGACUUCGGAAGGGAUGUAUUUCUUAGAUUAAAUGCCAACGCCCUUCGUGGCUUCCUGGUGAUUCAUAAUAACUUUUCGAAUCGCAUGGCCUUGCGCCGGCGAUGGUUCAUUCAUAUUUCUUCCCUAUCUACUUUCUAUGCGAAGGGAUUGUCUUCGCUGGGUUGCC